GACGAACGCUGGCGGCGUGCUUAACACAUGCAAGUCGAACGGAAAGGCCCUGCUUUUGUGGGGUGCUCGAGUGGCGAACGGGUGAGUAACACGUGAGUAACCUGCCCUUGACUUUGGGAUAACUUCAGGAAACUGGGGCUAAUACCGGAUAGGAGCUCCUGCUGCAUGGUGGGGGUUGGAAAGUUUCGGCGGUUGGGGAUGGACUCGCGGCUUAUCAGCUUGUUGGUGGGGUAGUGGCUUACCAAGGCUUUGACGGGUAGCCGGCCUGAGAGGGUGACCGGCCAGAUUGGGACUGAGAUACGGCCCAGACUCCUACGGGAGGGAGCAGUGGGGAAUAGUGCACAAUGGGCGGGAGCCUGAUGCAGCAACGCCGCGUGCGGGAUGACGGCCUUCGGGUUGUAAACCGCUUUCGCCUGUGACGAAGCGUGAGUGACGGUAAUGGGUAAAGAAGCACCGGCUAACUACGUG
rnacentral:rRNA from 1 species